rnacentral:lncRNA from 1 species
GUGGGUGUGGUAGUAGUGUGUAGUCUGCUGUGGUUGUGGUAGUAGUGUAUAGUCUUGUGUGGUUGUGGUAGUAGUGUAUAGUCUGGUGUGGUUGUGGUAGUAGUGUAUAGUCUGGUGUGGUUGUGGUAGUAGUGUAUAGUCUGGUGUGGGUGUGGUAGUAAUGUGUAGCCUGGUGUGGGUGUGGUAGUAGUGUAUAGUCUGUUGUGGUAGUAGUGUAUAGUUUGUUGUGGUUGUAGUGUAUAGGCUGGUUCUGGUGUGGUAGUAGUGUAUAGUCUGGUGUGGUAGUAGUGUAUAGUCUGGUGUGGUAGUAGCGUAUAGUUUGUUGUGGUUGUAGUGUAUAGGCUGGUGUGGUUGUGGUAGUAGUGUAUAGUCUGGUGUGGUAGUAGUGUAUAGUCUGUUGUGGUUGUACUGUAUAGCCUGGUGUGGUUGUGGUAGUAGUGUAUAGUCUGGUGUGGUUGUGGUAGUAGUGCUGGUGUGGUUGUGGUAGUAGUGUAUAGUCUGGUGUGGUAGUAGUGUAUAGUCUGUUGUGGUUGUACUGUAUAGCCUGGUGUGGUUGUGGUAGUAGUGUGUAGCCUGGUGUGGUUGUGGUAGUAGUGUGUAGCCUGGUGUGGUUGUGGUAGUAGUGUAUAGUCUGGUAUGAUUGUGGUAGUAGUGUAUAGUCUGGUGUGGUUGUGGUAGUAGUGUAUAGUUCUGGUGUGGUAGUAGUGUAUAGUCUGGUGUGGUAGUAGUGUAUAACCUGGUGUGGUUGUGGUAGUAGUGUAUAGUUUGUUGUGGUAGUGGUGUAUAGUCUGGUGAUGGUGUGGUAGUAGUGUGUAGUCUGGUGUGGGUGUGGUAGUAAUGUGUAGCCUGGUGUGUUUGCGGUAGUAGUGUAUCGUCUGGUGUGGUUGCGGUAGUAGUGUAUAGUCUGGUGUUGUUGUGGUAGUAGUGUAUAGUCUAGUGUGGUUGUGGUAGUAGUGUAUAGUGUGGUUGUGGUAGUAGUGUAUAGUGUGGUUGUGGUAGUAGUGUAUAGUGUGGUUGUGGUAGUAGUGUAUAGUCUGGUGUGGUUGUGGUAGUAGUGUAUAGUCUGGUGUGGUUGUGGUAGUAGUGUAUAGUGUGGUGUGGUAGUAGUGUAUAGUCUGGUGUGGUAGUAGUGUAUAGUCUGGUGUGGUAGUAGUGUAUAUUCUGGUGUGGUAGUAGUGUAUAGUCUGGUGUGGUAGUAGUGUAUUGUUUGUUGUGGUAGUAGUGUAUAGUCUGGUGUGGUAGUGUAUAGUCUGGUGUGGUAGUAGUGUAUUGUUUGUUGUGGUAGUAGUGUAUAGUCUGGUGUGGUUGUGGUAGUAGUGUAUAGCCUGGUGCGGUUGUGGUAGUGGUGUAUAGUCUGGUGCGGUUGUGGUAGUAGUGUAUAGUCUGGUGUGGUUGUGGUAGUAGUGUAUAGUGUGGUUGUGGUAGUUGUGUAUAGUCUGGUGUGGUUGUGGUAGUUGUGUAUAGUCUGGUGUGGUUGUGGUAGUAGUGUAUAGUCUGGUGUGGUUGUAGUGUAUAGUCUGGUGUGGUUGUAGUGUAUAGUCUGGUGUGGUUGUGGUAGUAGUGUAUAGUUUGUUGUGGUAGUAGUGUAUAGUCUGGUGUGGUAGUAGUGUAUAGUCUGGUUCUGGUGUGGUAGUAGUGUAUUGUUUGUUGUGGUCAUAGUGUAUAGUCUGGUGUGGUUGUGGUAGUAGUGUAUAGCCUGGUGCGGUUGUGGUAGUGGUGUAUAGUCUGGUGCGGUUGUGGUAGUAGUGUAUAGUCUGGUGUGGUUGUGGUAGUGGUGUAUAGUCUGGUGCGGUUGUGGUAGUAGUGUAUAGUCUGGUGUGGUUGUGGUAGUUGUGUAUAGUCUGGUGUGGUUGUGGUAGUAGUGUAUAGUCUGGUGUGGUUGUAGUGUAUAGUCUGGUGUGGUUGUAGUGUAUAGUCUGGUGUGGUUGUGGUAGUAGUGUAUAGUUUGUUGUGGUAGUAGUGUAUAGUCUGGUGUGGUAGUAGUGUAUAGUCUGGUGUGGUUGUGGUAGUAGUGUAUAGUCUGGUGUGGUUGUGGUAGU